rnacentral:rRNA from 1 species
GUGAGGAAUAUUGGACAAUGGGCGCAAGCCUGAUCCAGCCAUGCCGCGUGAGUGAUGAAGGCCUUAGGGUUGUAAAGCUCUUUUGUCCGGGAAGAUAAUGACUGUACCGGAAGAAUAAGCCCCGGCUAACUUCGUGCCAGCAGCCGCGGUAAUACGAAGGGGGCUAGCGUUGUUCGGAAUCACUGGGCGUAAAGCGCACGUAGGCGGACCAUUAAGUCAGGGGUGAAAGCCUGGAGCUCAACUCCAGAACUGCCUUUGAUACUGAUGGUCUCGAGUAUGGAAGAGGUUGGUGGAACUGCGAGUGUAGAGGUGAAAUUCGUAGAUAUUCGCAAGAACACCGGUGGCGAAGGCGGCCAACUGGUCCAUUACUGACGCUGAGGUGCGAAAGCGUGGGGAGCAAACAGGAUUAGAUACCCGGGUAGUCC